rnacentral:rRNA from 1 species
GCGCAGCAGGCGCGAAACCUCCGCAAUACACGAAAGUGUGACGGGGCCAUCCCGAGUGCCGUCCGCUGAGGACGGCUUUUCCCCAGUGUACACAGCUGGGGGAAUAAGGAGAGGGCAAGCCUGGUGUCAGCCGCCGCGGUAAUACCAGCUCUCCGAGUGGUGGGGACGCUUAUUGGGCCUAAAGCAUCCGUAGCCGGCUGGGCAAGUCCUCCGUUAAAUCCAACGAUUCAAUCGUUGGGCUGCGGGGGAUACUGUCCAGCUUGGGGGCGGGAGAGGCCGACGGUAUUCCCGGGGUAGGGGUGAAAUCCUAUAAUCCCGGGAGGACCACCAGUGGCGUAGGCUGUCGGCUAGAACGCGCCCGACGGUGAGGGAUGAAAGCUGGGGGAGCGAACCGGAUUAGAUACCCGCGUAGU